UGGCAGUGAAGACUUAAUUUUUAUACCAUCAAACUUUGAAAGCUUGAAAAACUGAGCUUGUUGAUGCAAACACUUUUAUAAUCUCUGAGCCC